CAUGGAGUUUGAUCCUGGCUCAGGAUGAACGCUAGCGGCAGGCUUAACACAUGCAAGUCGAGGGGUAUAGUUCUUCGGAGCUAGAGACCGGCGCACGGGUGCGUAACGCGUAUGCAAUCUACCUUUUACAGAGGGAUAGCCCAGAGAAAUUUGGAUUAAUACCUCAUAGUAUGUGAGAAUCGCAUGGUUUUUCACAUUAAAGUUCCAACGGUAAAAGAUGAGCAUGCGUCCCAUUAGCUAGAUGGUAAGGUAACGGCUUACCAUGGCGACGAUGAGUAGGGGUCCUGAGAGGGAGAUCCCCCACACUGGUACUGAGACACGGACCAGACUCCGUACGGGAGGCAGCAGUGAGGAAUAUGGACAAUGGGCGCAAGCCCUGAUCCAGCCAUGCCGCGUGCAGGAUGACGGU
rnacentral:rRNA from 1 species